UACGGAGGGUGCGAGCGUUAAUCGGAAUUACUGGGCGUAAAGCGCACGCAGGCGGUUUGUUAAGCUAGAUGUGAAAGCCCCGGGCUCAACCUGGGAUGGUCAUUUAGAACUGGCAGACUGGAGUCUUGGAAAGGGGAGUGGAAUUCCAGGUGUAGCGGUGAAAUGCGUAGAUAUCUGGAGGAACAUCAGUGGCGAAGGCGUCUCCCUGGCCAAAGACUGACGCUCAUGUGCGAAAGUGUGGGUAGCGAACAGG
rnacentral:rRNA from 1 species